GGAGAAAAGCCAAAGUUGGAUUAUCACAGGAUCUCUAGGUCUGACAGUACUCUACUACCAGAGCUAUCUCAUUGGCCACAUAUCCUGUAUGGUUGGUUGGCUGGUUCGCUAGUUUGGUUGGAGACAGGGCCUCCAUAUGCAGCUGUGGAACAUAUUAUGUAAACCAACCUGGGCUUCAAACCCACAGAGAUCUGCUUGCCCCUGUCUCCCAAG
rnacentral:lncRNA from 1 species